rnacentral:snRNA from 1 species
GUAUGUGAGGGCAAUCUGGCUGUGACAUCUGUCACCCCAUUGAUCGCUGUGGUUGGUUCUGCUGAUCUGGCUGGCUAGGCUGGUGUCCGCUUCCUCCCUCACUGCUUCAUGUGUGUCCUUCCUGAAGCUGCAUGCUCAGUCAAAGAGGUCGACUUUUCCCCAACAGAGGAGGACUGGUCAGGGGUGUACAAGUAGCUACACUCUCUUGCUAGACCCUCCAAACAAGCUGCCAAGGUGGGGUCUCAUUCUAGCCCAGGCUAGAACUUACUUUGUAGUUCCAGGCUGGCCUCAAACU